rnacentral:rRNA from 1 species
AUUGAACGCUGGCGGCAGGCUUAACACAUGCAAGUCGAACGGUAACAUAAAGAAGCUUGCUUCUUUGAUGACGAGUGGCGGACGGGUGAGUAAUGCUUGGGAAUCUAGCUUAUGGAGGGGGAUAACUACGGGAAACUGUAGCUAAUACCGCGUAAUAUCGAAAGAUUAAAGUGUGGGACCUUCGGGCCACAUGCCAUAGGAUGAGCCCAAGUGGGAUUAGGUAGUUGGUGAGGUAAAGGCUCACCAAGCCGACGAUCUCUAGCUGGUCUGAGAGGAUGACCAGCCACACUGGGACUGAGACACGGCCCAGACUCCUACGGGAGGCAGCAGUGGGGAAUAUUGCGCAAUGGGGGCAACCCUGACGCAGCCAUGCCGCGUGAAUGAAGAAGGCCUUCGGGUUGUAAAGUUCUUUCGGUAGCGAGGAAGGCACUUAGUUUAAUAGACUAGGUGAUUGACGUUAACUACAGAAGAAGCACCGGCUAACUCCGUGCCAGCAGCCGCGGUAAUACGGAGGGUGCGAGCGUUAAUCGGAAUAACUGGGCGUAAAGGGCACGCAGGCGGUGACUUAAGUGAGGUGUGAAAGCCCCGGGCUUAACCUGGGAAUUGCAUUUCAUACUGGGUCGCUAGAGUACUUUAGGGAGGGGUAGAAUUCCACGUGUAGCGGGUGAAAUGCGUAGAGAUGUGGAGGAAUACCGGAAGGCGAAGGCAGCCCCUUGGGAAUGUACUGACGCUCAUGUGCGAAAAGCGUGGGGGAGCAAACAGGA